rnacentral:rRNA from 1 species
GAUGAACGCUGGCGGCAUGCCUAAUACAUGCAAGUCGAACGAUAGGAAGGAAAGCUUGCUUUUCUGAAUCUAGUGGCGAACGGGUGAGUAACACGUAGGUAACCUGCCCAUGUGCCCGGGAUAACUUCUGGAAACGGAUGCUAAAACCGGAUAGGUAGCAGACAAGCAUUUGACUGCUAUUAAAGCGGCUAAGGCCAUGAACAUGGAUGGACCUGCGGUGCAUUAGCUAGUUGGUGAGGUAACGGCCCACCAAGGCGACGAUGCAUAGCCGGCCUGAGAGGGCGGACAGCCACAUUGGGACUGAGACACGGCCCAAACUCCUACGGGAGGCAGCAGUAGGGAAUUUUCGUCAAUGGGGGGAACCCUGAACGAGCAAUGCCGCGUGAGUGAGGAAGGUCUUCGGAUCGUAAAGCUCUGUUGUAAGAGAAAAACGACAUUCAUAGGGAAUGAUGAGUGAGUGAUGGUAUCUUACCAGAAAGUCACGGCUAACUACGUGCCAGCAGCCGCUGUAA